rnacentral:rRNA from 1 species
UUGAUAUUGGAAUGCUUAUUUAAUUUAUUUAUUUAUUGUUUUAUUAUGAGUAUAUUUUAGUAUUAGUAGUUUGUCUGGAUUUAUAGGUUGUUAAUAAUGGGAGUUUUGUACUGAGUAGGACUGCUUUAAAGUAUUAAAAAGAAUAGGUAAGUUUAGUACCUUGUGUAUCAGGGUUUAUUAAAAUAGAGGGUUAGCCUAUUUUCCCGAAUUCAAUAGAUUUAGGGGAUUGUUUUUUUAUUGUUGCAUAAAUAUUGAGAAUUUUCUUCUUGAAAUGAAAUGUUUACGUUUUUGAAUAUAUCUGGUUUUUUGAGAAAGAAAUUUAAUUUUGCUAUUGUUAAUAAAAUUUUAAUUGGUUAAUUUUUUAUUAGUAAUAGGUAAUAUCUAAGGGGAUGAGCUUUUAGUUAAAUUUUUAUAAUCUUUUUUUUUAAUUAAAAUUUAUAGAAUUGAAAGUUUUAAUUUGUAGGUUAAUGUUAUAAUUGAUUUAGGGUGAAUUUUAAUUUAUAUUUGAAUUUAAAUUUUUUAUUGAAAUAUAAUAAUUAAUUUUUUAAUAUUAGAGAUAAUGAUAGAAUUAGUAUAUUUUAAUGUAAUUUUAGGUUGAUUAGGAUAGGUUUUUUAAAGGAAUUCGGCAAAUGGAUUUUUCACCUGUUUAUUAAAAACAUGGCCUCUUGAGUAUAAUUUUAGGUCUAGCCUGCCCACUGAGUGUUAAAUGGCUGCGGUAUUCUGACCGUGCUAAGGUAGCAUAAUCAUUAGUUUUUUAAUUGGAAGCUGGAAUGAAUGGUUGGAUGAGGGAAUCACUGUCUCUAGCAAAUUUUAUUAGAAAUUUAUUAUUAAGUAAGAAGGCUUAAAUUUAAUUGAAAGACGAGAAGACCCUAUAGAGUUUUAUGGAUACGUUUUGUUGGAGUUUUUGUUAUUUAAAUUUUUUAUGAACUUAUUUAUUUGAUUGGGGCGAUCGGGAAAUUUAAUAAACUUUUCUUUGUUUUAUUCAUUUAUUUAUGAAAUGUUGAUCCUUUAUGGUGAGAUAAUAAGAUUAAGUUACCUUAGGGAUAACAGCGUUAUUUUUCUUGAGAGUUCUAAUCGAAAGAGAAGUUUGCGACCUCGAUGUUGGAUUAAAGUUAACUGUUGGCGAAGAAGCUGAAUAGUUAGGUCUGUUCGACCUUUAAAAUUUUACAUGAUCUGAGUUUAAACCGGCGUGAGCCAGGUUGGUUUCUAUCUUUAAUUUAAUAUAGUUUCUUAGUACGAAAGGACCGGAUGCUAGUCUAAUAGGCGUUUCUUGAAUAAUAUU